rnacentral:rRNA from 1 species
UACGGAGGGUGCUAGCGUUGUUCGGAAUUACUGGGCGUAAAGCGCCCGUAGGCGGCUUUGCAAGUCAGCGGUUAAAGCCCGGGGCUCAACCCCGGAAUUGCCUUUGAGACUGCAUCGCUAGAAUUGGGGAGAGGUAAGUGGAAUUCCGAGUGUAGAGGUGAAAUUCGUAGAUAUUCGGAAGAACACCAGUGGCGAAGGCGACUCACUGGCCCGAUACUGACGCUGAGGCCCGAAAGCGUGGGGAGCAAACAGG